rnacentral:rRNA from 1 species
UCACAAUAGUACCGUGGACACACUGAUCUUUUCUGAUUUUGGAAGCUAAGCAGGGUAAGGUAUGGUUCAUAUCUGGAUGGGAGGCUGCCAGGAAGUCCCAUGUGCCUGAA